UGUGAUUUGACUUGAUCCCAUGGUGCUG
rnacentral:piRNA from 1 species